UCCUUGUUGGUCUAGGGGUUAUGAUCGCCGCUUUUCAAAUCAUUGAGCCAAAGUGGCGCCACACAGUUGGCCCGCGGCUGACCCGGGUUCGAGUCCCGGACAGGGAA